rnacentral:tRNA from 1 species
ACUUAUGUAGUUUAUAAAAACACUAUAUUUUCAUUAUAGAAAUAAAAGUUUAUUUUCUUAAGUG